GGCUGUCUGUGAUGUCUUAAACUUCCUUACCUACCUUGUUUGAAUGACCUCUGAAAACAACAAUCUAACAACUGAGACAUGC